CUAGUUUCUUUAUUUUAAUUCAAGAGAACAUCUUUGUAUUAAUUUGAUUAUUGUGAGACACGUGUCAUGAAACUUAGGCUUAGAGGUUAGAUAGCCAAGUCGCGUGGCACUUAGUUAACUUGCUUAUCAAAGUCGAACUAAAUAAGCCUAGAUGAGAGUUGGGAGCGAUUUUAGGUGAGCAAAGUAGACAGCAAAGGUGUAGGGCUAGAGUAGAAUAGAGCACUUGAGCUUUGUAAAUAUG
rnacentral:lncRNA from 1 species